UACGUAGGGUGCAAGCGUUGUCCGGAAUUAUUGGGCGUAAAGAGCUCGCAGGCGGUCUGUCGCGUCGGCUGUGAAAACUCGGGGCUCAACUCCGAGCUUGCAGUCGAUACGGGCAGGCUAGAGUUCGGCAGGGGGGACUGGAAUUCCUGGUGUAGCGGUGAAAUGCGCAGAUAUCAGGAGGAACACCGGUGGCGAAGGCGGUUCUCUGGGCAUUACCUGACGCUGAGGAGCGAAAGUGUGGGGAGCGAACAGG
rnacentral:rRNA from 1 species